rnacentral:rRNA from 1 species
AGUGAACGCUGGCGGUAGGCCUAACACAUGCAAGUCGAGCGGCAGCACAGUAAGAGCUUGCUCUUACGGGUGGCGAGUGGCGGACGGGUGAGGAAUACAUCGGAAUCUACUUUUUCGUGGGGGAUAACGUAGGGAAACUUACGCUAAUACCGCAUACGACCUACGGGUGAAAGCAGGGGAUCUUCGGACCUUGCGCGAUUGAAUGAGCCGAUGUCGGAUUAGCUAGUUGGCGGGGUAAAGGCCCACCAAGGCGGCGAUCCGUAGCUGGUCUGAGAGGAUGAUCAGCCACACUGGAACUGAGACACGGUCCAGACUCCUACGGGAGGCAGCAGUGGGGAAUAUUGGACAAUGGGCGCAAGCCUGAUCCAGCCAUACCACGUGGGUGAAGAAGGCCUUCGGGUUGUAAAGCCCUUUUGUUGGGAAAGAAAAGCAGCAGGUUAAUACCCCGCUGUUCUGACGGUACCCAAAGAAUAAGCACCGGCUAACUUCGUG